rnacentral:lncRNA from 1 species
UUCUCUAUUAGAAUCUGAGGUUUGAAUGUGAAAAGAGGAAGGGGAGAACAAGGAAACCAAGAAAAAAAAUGAGUUAACCUUCAGUAAAUAGCUUCAAAAUCUUGUUACCUCAUCGAUAUGCUUUCAGUUGUAAGGAACAAAAGGGCUACGGAUAAUGAUAUAGAUGUUUUGUUGAUGACGUUGAUGUCGAAGUUUUUUAGCGAGUUAGGUAUUUCGUUAGUUUAGCUUUAUAUAUAGAUUAUAUGUAGUUUAUUUAUACAGUUUUAUGUAGUUUGUUAUGCAUUCAACAAAUGAUUGUAAUUUGACCGGUUUAUUUCCGAAUUGGAUGUCUACGGGUUUAUUUCCGAAUUGAAUGUGUAUUGGUUUGGUUUCAUUU